GACGAACGCUGGCGGCGUGCCUAAUACAUGCAAGUCGAGCGGAUGGAAGGAAGCUUGCUUCCUAAAGUCAGCGGCGGACGGGUGAGUAACACGUGGGCAACCUGCCCCUAAGAUCGGGAUAACUUCGGGAAACCGGAGCUAAUACCGGAUAUGAUUAUGUCUAACAUGAGACAUAAUGGAAAGACGGUUUCGGCUGUCACUUAGGGAUGGGCCCGCGGCGCAUUAGCUAGUUGGUGAGGUAACGGCUCACCAAGGCGACGAUGCGUAGCCGACCUGAGAGGGUGAUCGGCCACACUGGGACUGAGACACGGCCCAGACCCCUACGGGAGGCAGCAGUAGGGAAUCUUCCGCAAUGGACGAAAGUCUGACGGAGCAACGCCGCGUGAGUGAAGAAGGUUUUCGGAUCGUAAAACUCUGUUGUUAGGGAAGAACAAGUACCAUAGUAACUGAUGGUACCUUGACGGUACCUAACCAGAAAGCCACGGCUAACUACGUGCCAGCAGCCGCGGUAAAAC
rnacentral:rRNA from 1 species